rnacentral:rRNA from 1 species
UACGAAGGGGGCUAGCGUUGCUCGGAUUGACUGGGCGUAAAGGGCGCGUAGGCGGUUUGUUCAGUUGGGCGUGAAAUUCCUGGGCUUAACCUGGGGGCUGCGUUCAAUACGUGCAGGCUUGAGUUCGGAAGAGGGUAGUGGAAUUCCCAGUGUAGAGGUGAAAUUCGUAGAUAUUGGGAAGAACACCGGUGGCGAAGGCGGCGACCUGGUCCGAUACUGACGCUGAGGCGCGAAAGCGGGGGGAGCAAACAGG